rnacentral:rRNA from 1 species
GAUGAACGCUGGCGGCAUGCCUAAUACAUGCAAGUCGAACGAGAGGAAGGAAGCUUGCUUUUCUGAAUCUAGUGGCGAACGGGUGAGUAACACGUAGGUAACCUGCCCAUGUGCCCGGGCUAACUUCUGGAAACGGAUGCUAAAACCGGAUAGGUAGCAGACAAGCAUUUUACUGCUAUUAAAGUGGCUAAGGCCAUGAACAUGGAUGGACCUGCGGUGCAUUAGCUAGUUGGUGAGGUAACGGCCCACCAAGGCGACGAUGCAUAGCCGGCCUGAGAGGGCGGACGGCCACAUUGGGACUGAGACACGGCCCAAACUCCUGCGGGAGGCAGCAGUAGGGAAUUUUCGUCAAUGGGGGGAACCCUGAACGAGCAAUGCCGCGUGAGUGAGGAAGGUCUUCGGAUCGUAAAGCUCUGUUGUAAGAGAAAAACGACAUUCAUAGGGAAUGAUGAGUGAGUGAUGGUAUCUUACCAGAAAGUCACGGCUAACUACGUGCCAGCCGCCGCGGUAAUAC